UUAAAUGUCAAUUUCAUGUGAUUCUAAUUUUUUAGGCGGGAACCUCCGUGUACCGGUUAGGUGGCGGGAAAUUUACAUGCAUGUAAAAAAAUCAUAUUGGCAUAUUUUAAAGGAGGGAAGAAAAAGCUGUUAAAAAAAGAAACGUUUAUGCAGUAUAAUAAGCUAAUUAAUGUGAAAUGAGAUCGUUGAAACUAUAUUGAAAACUAUACUAUAUUAGAUCGCAUGUGAGAAAUUAUUUCAAUAACAAACAAUACAAAAUCUGUGUUAUUUAGUUAAUAUUCACUUUCCUAGUGAAUUUAAUCUCUUUUUAAUGAAUUUCAUUCUCUUUCUCAAAGUCUUAAUAGCAAGUUUAUCGCUCUCAUUUCUUUCUGGUUUGGGUUCGCUUGUUUUCUUGGAGCAUUUUGAAAUCUUUGAUUUACGGAACAUAGAAACUAGUCUUUCUCCUGGAGUAGAUACUACUUCUGGAUAUCUUAAAAUAUCUUUUGCAAUACUUGCAAAGUGAUUCUUACUUGGGAACUCCUUUGCAAGCAAGUAAAGCAUAAUAGUUAAGUCAUCCAUUUCUUCAAUAAAAAGUUCAUAUUCUCCCUUAAUAACACCUUCAUGAUACAUUGAACUUAAUCUUGUUUUCAAUGAGUCAAAUUCUGAUCUGAGCUUUCUAAGCUUAGAUUGUACGUUUUUACCCCAUCUUCUAACAAUGAAGCUCUUUGAGUUUAAGGCUAAAGCUGAUGAUGGAAUUAAACUUCCAUCAAUUAACUGAUAUGCAAAUACUAAUCUAUUUGAUUCCGAUCUUAAGCUUGAGAUAAUUUCUGGAACACGAUAAAAGUUCUCUUUUGGUAUACUUCUAGAUAAUAAAUAAAUUCUUGGAAUAAAGUCACUUGAAUACUUUGGUUCAUCAUUCUUUGAAAGUCUUUUAAUACAAUUUGGUUUUUUGCAGCCAAGGUUUACUGAAGAAGGCUUCUUCUUAAAGAAUGAUUUGAUCUUACCAAAAAAUGACUUAACCUUAUUAUUAGAUUCUCUUUCAUCAAGCUUUGAAUCCUUAUUAGUAAAGUCUUCAUCAACUUUCUUUUCUUCUUCUACUAUAAUUUCAUUAACAUCAUCAUCAUCAUCUGCUGAAUUCAAAACUUCUAUUUCAUUAUUACUUAUAAUAUCAUUGUCAUUAUCAUUUGAAAGUUCGAUACCACUGCUUAAUUCUUGAAUACCUGAAUCCUCAUUCUUAUUUUCUUCAUCUUUCUCUUCUUCAUGAUCUAAAGAAUAAUUGCUUACUACUGGAAUAUCACUAAUAUUUGAAGUAUCUUCAUCUUCUCCUUCAGAAAUUCCUUCAAUUUCAAUUCCUUCCAAAGGUUUUACAGCUUUUUCUUUUGCAAUUAGGUCCUCUGAUUCUUGACUAAAUCUAUAUCUUUCAUUUGAAUCUUCUUGAUAUUCAUCACCUUCUAAAUAAUCUGAAUCACUAUCUUGAAGUACUUCUUCUGAUGAAAUUCUCUCAGUUUUAAAAUCACUUUCAUUUCCUGCUAAUAUUCUUGCUUUGAUCUCAGAAUCUUCUUCUUCUUCAUCAAAUUCAAAUUGAUCUUCUGAUUUUUCUACCUUAAUAUCAUCUUCAGCUUCAGUCUGUUCUCCUUCAUCAAUAGAACUUAUGUUAUCGAAAACUUCAUUUUCACUUGCUACUGUUGAGACUUCAUCAUUAAUAUCCUCUGGAACUACUUCUUGACUGUUUAGCUUUUCCUCUAAUGAGUCAUGAGAUUCAAUUUGAACAUAAUUUUGUUUUUUCUUCUUAGAAAAACAUGAACUCUUUUUUUCUUUUGGACUUUCUAUGGAUUUUUCUCCAGAACCUUCAUUCUUACUCUUAUUUUUAUUCUUAUUCUUCUUUUCAUUCUUAAGUUGUUUCUUCUUUUCAGCUUCUAAUCGCUUCUUUUCUUCUCUCUCUCUCUUCUUUUCCUUCUUAUCUAACCUUAACCUUUCCUUUUCUUUUUGUUUCUUCAAUUUUUUUUCCUUCUUCUCUAAUUUUAAUCUUUCCUUUUCCAAUUUCUUUUUCUGACUCUUAGUGAGAUUUAAAGUAGAUACUGGUACAUUUUCAGAUUGAUUUUCUUGAUUUGUAUUAGAUAAAUCUGUUUUAGUAUCUAAAGAGAGUGGUAGAUCACUACCAAAGCUUUUAUUUUCUUCAUCUUGAACAUUUUGAUCAAUAUCAUUAGAAACUUCGUCCUCUAGUAUUCUUGAUUGUUGAAUAUCCUCCAUUUCAAUAGCAUUAGUUUCAUCAUCAGUAGUUUCAAUAUCAGUUUGGUUUUCAAUAUCCGAUGAAACUGGUUCAAUAUAAUUAGAAGAAUAGUUACUAUCAUCAUUAUUAUCGUCAUGAAGAGGAUCAACAAAGUUAUCAUCAGUUACUUCUCCAUUAUGAUCAACAGCAGCAGAAUGAGACCCUUCUUCAAUAGGGAACUUAGAAAUAAGUGGUUUAGUUCUUUUAACAACUUUUAAUUCAGGUCUAAGUUGCGUUUUUUCUCUAUUUUCUUUAAUAAUUUUCUCAAAAUGUUGAAUUCUCUCUUGAGUUAAUCCUUUUCUUCCUGUAUGUGGAAUAACAUCAUCUUCAUUUGCAUGAAUAGAUUGAGAAUAUAUAGCCAAUGUAAAUAGAAUUAGUAAUAAUAAGUUGAAUAUUUUCAUGAUUUUGAUAAAUAUAAACUUUCUAAUUCAAGAUUUGGCUUAUUUACAAAAAAAAAGUUGAAAUAUCGACGAAUUACUCACGCUUUACCAAUACUUUUGAAACAAUCUUUAAAAAAAUUAAGGGAAUAUUUAUGAAUAAAUAAAAUCUGG
rnacentral:antisense_RNA from 1 species